rnacentral:rRNA from 1 species
GAAACUAACAAGGAUUCCCCUAGUAACUGCGAGUGAAGCGGGAAAAGCUCAAAUUUAAAAUCUGGCGGUCUCUGGCCGUCCGAGUUGUAAUCUAGAGAAGUAAUGCCCGUGCUGGACCGUGUAUAAGUCUCCUGGGAUGGAGCGUCAUAGAGGGUGAGAAUCCCGUCUUUGACACGGACUACCAGUGCAUUGUGGUAUGCUCUCAAAGAGUCGAGUUGUUUGGGAAUGCAGCUCAAAAUGGGUGGUAAAUUCCAUCUAAAGCUAAAUAUUGGCGAGAGACCGAUAGCGAACAAGUACCGUGAGGGAAAGAUGAAAAGAACUUUGGAAAGAGAGUUAAACAGUACGUGAAAUUGCUGAAAGGGAAACGCUUGAAGUCAGUCGCGUUGGCUAGGGAUCAGCCUUGCUUUUGCAUGGUGUACUUUCUGGUUGACGGGUCAGCAUCAAUUUUGACCGCUGGAAAAGGGCCUGGGGAAUGUGGCAGCUUCGGCUGUGUUAUAGCCCCUGGUCGCAUACAGUGGUUGGGAUUGAGGAACUCAGCACGCCGCAAGGCCGGGUUUCGACCACGUUCGUGCUUAGGAUGCUGGCAUAAUGGCUUUAAGCGACCCGUCUUGAAACACGGACCAAGGAGUCUAACAUGCCUGCGAGUAUUUGGGUGGAAAACCCAAGUGCGUAAUGAAAGUGAAAGUUGAGAUCCCUGUCGCGGGGAGCAUCGACGCCCGGACCAGAACUUUUGGGACGGAUCCGCGGUGGAGCAUGUAUGUUGGGACCCGAAAGAUGGUGAACUAUGCCUGAAUAGGGUGAAGCCAGAGGAAACUCUGGUGGAGGCUCGUAGCGAUUCUGACGUGCAAAUCGAUCGUCAAAUUUGGGUAUAGGGGCGAAAGACUAAUCGAACCAUCUAGUAGCUGGUUCCUGC